AGACCCGAAACCCGGUGAUCUAGCCAUGGGCAGGUUGAAGGUUGGGUAACACUAACUGGAGGACCGAACCGACUAAUGUUGAAAAAUUAGCGGAUGACCUGUGGCUGGGGGUGAAAGGCCAAUCAAACCGGGAGAUAGCUGGUUCUCCCCGAAAGCUAUUUAGGUAGCGCCUCGUGAAUUCAUCUCCGGGGGUAGAGCACUGUUUCGGCUAGGGGGCCAUCCCGGCUUACCAACCCGAUGCAAACUGCGAAUACCGGAGAAUGUUAUCACGGGAGACACACGGCGGGUGCUAACGUCCGUCGUGAAGAGGGAAACAACCCAGACCGCCAGCUAAGGUCCCAAAGUCAUGGUUAAGUGGGAAACGAUGUGGGAAGGCCCAGACAGCCAGGAUGUUGGCUUAGAAGCAGCCAUCAUUUAAAGAAAGCGUAAUAGCUCACUGGUCGAGUCGGCCUGCGCGGAAGAUGUAACGGGGCUAAACCAUGCACCGAAGCUGCGGCAGCGACGCUGAUGCGUUGUUGGGUAGGGGAGCGUUCUGUAAGCCUGUGAAGGUGGCCUGUGAGGGUUGCUGGAGGUAUCAGAAGUGCGAAUGCUGACAUAAGUAACGAUAAAGCGGGUGAAAAGCCCGCUCGCCGGAAGACCAAGGGUUCCUGUCCAACGUUAAUCGGGGCAGGGUGAGUCGACCCCUAAGGCGAGGCCGAAAGGCGUAGUCGAUGGGAAACGGGUUAAUAUUCCCGUACUUGGUGUUACUGCGAAGGGGGGACGGAGAAGGCUAUGUUGGCCGGGCGACGGUUGUCCCGGUUUAAGCGUGUAGGUGUGUGUUCCAGGUAAAUCCGGUUCACUUUAACACUGAGGCGUGAUGACGAGGCACUACGGUGCUGAAGCAACAAAUGCCCUGCUUCCAGGAAAAGCCUCUAAGCAUCAGGUAACAUCAAAUCGUACCCCAAACCGACACAGGUGGUCAGGUAGAGAAUACCAAGGCGCUUGAGAGAACUCGGGUGAAGGAACUAGGCAAAAUGGUGCCGUAACUUCGGGAGAAGGCACGCUGACACGUAGGUGAAGUGAUUUACUCAUGGAGCUGAAGUCAGUCGAAGAUACCAGCUGGCUGCAACUGUUUAUUAAAAACACAGCACUGUGCAAACACGAAAGUGGACGUAUACGGUGUGACGCCUGCCCGGUGCCGGAAGGUUAAUUGAUGGGGUCAGCGCAAGCGAAGCUCCUGAUCGAAGCCCCGGUAAACGGCGGCCGUAACUAUAACGGUCCUAAGGUAGCGAAAUUCCUUGUCGGGUAAGUUCCGACCUG
rnacentral:rRNA from 1 species